rnacentral:tRNA from 1 species
GCAGGUAUAGUUUAACCAAAACCUUAAGCUGUGGACUUAAAAAUAAAGACUAAUCACCCUUUACCUACC